GACGAACGCUGGCGGCGUGCUUAACACAUGCAAGUCGAACGGAAAGGCUCCAGCUUGCUGGAGUGCUCGAGUGGCGAACGGGUGAGUAACACGUGGGCAAUCUGCCCUGCACUCUGGGAUAAGCCUGGGAAACUGGGUCUAAUACCGGAUAGGACCUUUCUCCUCAUGGGGUUUGGUGGAAAGUUUGUCGGUGCAGGAUGAGCCCGCGGCCUAUCAGCUUGUUGGUGGGGUAAUGGCCUACCAAGGCGACGACGGGUAGCCGGCCUGAGAGGGUGAUCGGCCACAUUGGGACUGAGAUACGGCCCAGACUCCUACGGGAGGCAGCAGUGGGGAAUAUUGCACAAUGGGCGAAAGCCUGAUGCAGCGACGCCGCGUGAGGGAUGACGGCCUUCGGGUUGUAAACCUCUUUCAGUAGGGACGAAGCGCAAGUGACGGUACCUGCAGAAGAAGCACCGGCUAACUACGUG
rnacentral:rRNA from 1 species